rnacentral:rRNA from 1 species
GACGAACGCUGGCGGCGUGCCUAACACAUGCAAGUUGAGCGGAGAUAUAUGGAGCUUGCUUUAUAUAUUUUAGCGGCGAACGGGUGAGUAACACGUAGAUAAUCUGUCCUAUACUGGGGGAUAGCCCGACGAAAGUUGGAUUAAUACCGCAUACAGCUAUUUAAUCGCAUGAAUAGAUAGUGAAAGAUUUAUUGAUAUAGGAGGAGUCUGCGGCACAUUAGCUAGUAGGUGAGGUAAGAGCUCACCUAGGCGACGAUGUGUAGCCGGUCUGAAGGGAUGAACGGCAAAAAUGGAGCUGAGACACGGUCCAUACUCCUAAGGGAGGCAGCAGUGGGGAAUAUUGGACAAUGGGGGAAACCCUGAUGCAGCAACGCCGCGUGAGUGAAGAAGGUUUUCGGAUUGUAAGGCUCUGUUAGCAGGGAAGAGGAAGGACGGUACCUGCAGAGGAAGCCACGGCUACUACGUGCCAGCAGCCGCAGUAA